AAAUUGAAGAGUUUGAUCAUGGCUCAGAUUGAACGCUGGCGGCAGGCCUAACACAUGCAAGUCGAACGGUAACAGGAAUCAGCUUGCUGAUUCGCUGACGAGUGGCGGACGGGUGAGUAAUGUCUGGGAAACUGCCUGAUGGAGGGGGAUAACUACUGGAAACGGUAGCUAAUACCGCAUAACGUCGCAAGACCAAAGAGGGGGACCUUCGGGCCUCUUGCCAUCGGAUGUGCCCAGAUGGGAUUAGCUAGUAGGUGGGGUAACGGCUCACCUAGGCGACGAUCCCUAGCUGGUCUGAGAGGAUGA
rnacentral:rRNA from 1 species